CUGCAUUCUAAAAGAAACCAUUACAAAAAAUAAGGAAAAAUUAAUUUUACAAACUAUGUCAUAUGUUUUCUUUGUUUCCUCAAUAUAACUCUGAUUAGAAUGUCAAACAAAGAUAAAAUCAUCCGUAUUAAUCGUCAGUAUCGUGUAUAUUAUUAAUAUGAGCGUCUUUGCGUUACAUUCGUGCUACACCAUGCACUUAUAUCGACGUCGCAAUGCAAAAGAAGAAGGGCAAGAAAGAAACCUGUCCUGGUCUGGCGAUUUAAGGGAACAUCUGUUUAAGCCUGUCUAGAUCUUUUAUCAGUCUAGAAAGAUGUUGGAGAAAAGACAUCAUCCUCUUCUAUACUCUCCAUCUGUAAUUGGGCUAACUGGACCAGUGAAUGCAGGCAACUUACUCUCCAUUCGACCUUGCAGGUCACACCAUGGUCUCAAGAGGGAAAAUGAGUGCUCUAUGGAUUGAACAGAAAAGGAGAAUCAAAACUCCAACCAUCUGUAUGAGGGUCUGGAUGGAUAAAGGAUGCCCACUGGAGCUGGAAAUGAUGGAUCAGGUGGAUCCACACUUGAACCAUCUGUAUGAUGAUCUGCACCCACUGGAUCUGUAAAUGGUGGUGCAGGUUUCUGAAUUGAUGUCAGAUGCAAAGCAGAAGUUUAUUUUCUUCCAGUUUGGCUUCAUUGUGGAAAAAUGCUGGAAACUAAAAUGCAGAAUUCUGGCCUGGUGUUUGGUCCACCCUUUCUCUGGCUUGUGUCUCCGUCUCCAUCAUCAUUAUACUCUUGUCAGUGUUAUAGUAUUGUCGUCUGCGUACCAGGACUUUGUUUCUCAGCUGUCCCUUCUCCUUCAAGCUACAUUUUUGUCAAGCUGCAACAAGUUGGAAUACAUAAUUAUUAACGUUUAAGGAUUUUGAUGUAUGAAAUAUGUAACAAAAGCAAAAAAUGUACAGACAUUCUAUUAAGAAAUUACCUUUUUGUUGUUUGUUUACUGACCUUUCAACCAUAUUGCAUUUAAAAUUGAUCAUCAUACCUUUGGUCUACUGUUAACAGACUACUGUAGAAAACUUUGAAUAAAGUAAAAAAAAAGAGAAAAAAUUAUAAAUGCUGAAUGUGUCUCAUCUUAAAUACAUUGUUGUUGUUUUUUUCAUUGAAUUUGGAUGUUUUGAUGAUUUAAGGAAAAUUUACGUAGCAUAUAUAUUGAUGUUUUAAUUCAGAGUUUGUUAAUGACACUUAAUCAUUAACAAACAUUUAAAAAGGUUUAUUACAAUACUAAUUGAUAAUAUUAAAUUAAUGUAAUAAUCUUGUUUUGUUACACCCUAAAUCACUGAGCGCACAAACGCUACCCCAGUUACAAGCAUGGGUGGUUGACUUCAUGCAGACAUGCGCAGACAUCGAAGUACCGCGAGAGUGAUUCAAAAGCCCACGAAACAGUGUAAUCACGCGGUACUGUGACGUCAUACUGGUUAACGCUAAACCACGUGAAGCCGGACACAAGGGCUGCACUAAUCUUUGGGCUGGAGUAGCCUGUGGCUUACGUGUCUCGUCGCAGAACGAUUUAUUUCUCUUUUUCACCUCGAUCUUUGGCCUCUUGUGAUUUAACAAAACCAACAUGUGAAGUUACAACGCUGACGAAGGAGUUUAAUCAGUAACGUUAGAGUGUGUCCUGGUAAACGUGUGCUUGGAAACAUGCAGAUUACAGUAUUUACAGAGCCGACCUUGAGGCUAUUUUUUUUGCAUGACAUCCACUGAUGGAUAAUCUGUUUACCUAAAAACAGCACUUCAGGAGAAACCUGCCUGUGAUCUGCUAAGAUGCACAGAUUCAACUCUGGCCCAUUGUCAUCCCAACACCUUAUCUGCCAUCAGUUUCGUUUAGUGUCGAUCUAUUGCAAAAGUUCUUAUAAACUUUAAAUGAGACUUUGUGUUAAGCAGGGGUUUCCAAACUUUUAAUUUCACAACAUAUUAAGCCCAGGAUACACAGCAGGAUUUUUGCAAUCCAAUAGACCUUAUCACACUGUGUGACAAGAAUUGUUUAAACUUUAGCAGUAGACUGUCGAUGAAGACACCUAUUGCAUCUGAGGCUGCGACAUUCGUCAUCAGCAUGCGCUAGUGGUAAACAAAUACAGGUAUGCAGGUCGUAGAAGCAAACACGUUGUUGAUGUGCGUUGAUCAUGCUGAACUUCUUACACUGUCAUAAAACUAUCGUAGGUGUCUUUGGUCCCAGGACUGGGAAAAGAGGUCUUUAAACCUCUCACACUGUAUGAAAUAGGACCACCAAUUAAGAGCCACGAUCACAGAAAUCUCCACGAUUGUUUCACGAUUGGUAAUCUUUCAUCUGGGACAGCCAAAAACCGUGCCGUGUAUUAUGGGCUUUAGACAUGUGUAAUCUUAUAGUAUAUCAAAACCAUUGCUAAUAAUUAAUUGGACAAACCAUCACUACAAUGCAACACUCGCUAUCUUACGGUGCGACCCACAAGUGGGUCUUCACCCACAGCUUAAAAACCCUGAGUAUGAGUAAGAGUAUGUUGUAUUGUAAUUAAAGUCACAUCUAAGUGUUAUGGAGCAGUUUGUCAUUAUAUUCACAGUAUUACAUGGUUCUUUCAGCAGUUUCUACGUUACAGUGCUCUUAAAGUGUCCUGAUCAGCUUUGGGUCUUGUGAAGUAAUGUAAUGAGAAUGUGAUCAAUAGCUUUGCAGUAUUUUUGGUUAAACAUUUUAUUCAAAUUUGGUAAACAAUCUAGUCAAUAUAAUUCAUGCUGUGAUGCUGGAUUAAACCUGGUCAAAUAAAUGUGUAUUGUGUUUUCAA